rnacentral:rRNA from 1 species
UUUUGGACAAUGGGCGCAACCCUGAUCCAGCAAUGCCGCGUGAGUGAAGAAGGCCUUCGGGUUGUAAAGCUCUUUUGUCAGCGAAGAAACACCGGCUCUAACACAGUCCGGGAAUGACGGUACCUGAAGAAUAAGCACCGGCUAACUACGUGCCAGCAGCCGCGGUAAUACGUAGGGUGCGAGCGUUAAUCGGAAUUACUGGGCGUAAAGCGUGCGCAGGCGGUUAUACAAGACAGGCGUGAAAUCCCCGGGCUUAACCUGGGAAUGGCGCCUGUGACUGUAUAGCUAGAGUGUGUCAGAGGGGGGUAGAAUUCCACGUGUAGCAGUGAAAUGCGUAGAUAUGUGGAGGAAUACCAAUGGCGAAGGCAGCCCCCUGGGAUAACACUGACGCUCAUGCACGAA